rnacentral:rRNA from 1 species
GUACACUCCUACGGGAGGCAGCAGUGGGGAAUAUUGCACAAUGGGCGCAAGCCUGAUGCAGCCAUGCCGCGUGUAUGAAGAAGGCCUUCGGGUUGUAAAGUACUUUCAGCGGGGAGGAAGGCAAUACGGUUAAUAACCGUGUUGAUUGACGUUACCCGCAGAAGAAGCACCGGCUAACUCCGUGCCAGCAGCCGCGGUAAUACGGAGGGUGCAAGCGUUAAUCGGAAUUACUGGGCGUAAAGCGCACGCAGGCGGUCUGUCAAGUCGGAUGUGAAAUCCCCGGGCUCAACCUGGGAACUGCAUUCGAAACUGGCAGGCUUGAGUCUUGUAGAGGGGGGUAGAAUUCCAGGUGUAGCGGUGAAAUGCGUAGAGAUCUGGAGGAAUACCGGUGGCGAAGGCGGCCCCCUGGACAAAGACUGACGCUCAGGUGCGAAAGCGUGGGGAGCAAACAGGAUUAGAAACCCCUGUAGUCCCAU